rnacentral:lncRNA from 1 species
ACGAUAUUUCAUCUGUUUUAUGUCUGCAGUAAAAUCCUCUUUCAUACCUAAGAGUGGUUAUCUGUGCCUUCACCCUUUCUUGAUUAGUCUCUUCAAAGGGCUUAUUAAUUUUAUUUGCCUUUACAAAGCACCAGUUCUUGGGACUUGUCAGCGGUAACGAAACAGACUAGAACCCAUUAGGACAUGGGUUUGAGCCCCGGCCCUGUUCAGUGGGUUAAGGAUUGGUGUUGCCGUGAGCUGCAGUGUAGGUCACAGAUGUGGCUCGGAUCUGGCGUUGCUGUGGCUGUGGUGUAGGCCAGCAGCUAUAGCUCUGAUUCGACCCCUAGCCUGGGAACUUCCAUGUGCCUCAGGUAAAGCCAUAAAAAGAAAAAAAAAAUCAGUUUUUGACAACUGAGUCUAUCAUAUCAUUGUUUUCAGCCUUUUUUUUUUUUUUUUUUUUUCUUUUUUGGUCUUUUUAGGGCCGAGCCUGUGGCCUAUGGAGGUUCUCAGGCUAGGGGUCCAUUUGGAGCUAUAGCUGUUGGCCUACGCCACAGUCACAGCAACGUGGGAUCUGAGCCACGUCUGCAACCUACACCACAGCUCAUGGCAACGCCAGAUCCUUAGCUCAGUAAGCAAGGCUGGGGAUCGAACCUGAGUCCUCCUGGAUGCUAGUCGGAUUCGCUAACCACUGAACCAUGAUGGGAACUCCCAGACUCUUUUCUAAUACAUGCAUUUAAGACCGUAUCUCCCUCGGCAAUUUAUGUGUUUAACUGUUAUUUUGACGUUAUUUAUUUCUAGUUUAAUUCCACUGUGAUUAGAGACUAUAUAUGCCUUCAGUCCUUUGAAAUUUAGUGAGACUUGCUUUUUGGCUCAGCAUAUGGUCAGUUUUAUAAAAGCACUUAUAUUCUGCAAUUGGAAGUACACUGCUUUACAGCUCAAAUUUGUUCAUAUUUGCAUUUUCCUUACUGAUUUUGUCUGCUUAGCUUACCAGUUACUGAGAUAUGUAUUUAAAUUUUCCUCUUGAUUUGUCUGGUCGCUCCUUUAGUUUUGACAAUUUUCAUUACAUUUUUGAGUAUGUAUUAUAUGCAUACAAAUUUUGAAUUGUUAAAUCAUAUUGGUGACUUUAACUUAUCAAUAUGAAAUGUCUAUCUCUAGAAAUAUACACACACAUUUUGGCAAAGCCGAUGGCAUGCAGAAGUUCCUGGGCCAGGGACUGAACUCUCACCACAGCAGUGACCUGAGCGUAUCAGUGACAACACUGGAUCCUUAACCCAUUGAGCCACCAGUAAACUCCUAGAAGUAUUUCUUUUUUUUUUUUUUUUUUUGUCUUUUUAGGGCUGCACCCAUGGCAUAUGGAGAUUCCCAGGCUGGGGUCAAAUCGGAGCUACAGCUGCCGGCCUAUGCCAUAGCCACAGAGAGCAAUGCCAGAUCUUAGCCGUAUCUGCAACCUACACCACAGCUCAUGGCAACAAUGGAUCCUUAACCCACUGAGCGAGGCCAGGGAUUGAACCUGGGUCCUCAGUGUUUCUUGACUGUUUGCAUUAUACACAUUUCACCAUCCCUUUACUUUCAAAUUUUUUGAUUCCUGAUUAUGGCCAAGUAUUUGUUCGAUUUUGGUAAAUCUUCCACGGUUACAUGAAAAGCAUACAUACUUUGGUAGUAGGGCACAAAGUUCUGUAUUUGACCAAAAACCAAGCCAGUUCAUUAUAUUAUCAAUAUAUUAAUUUCCCUGCAUUUUUUUUGUCUAUUUAUAUGCUAAAUUCUGAAAGAGGUUUAUUAAACUCCACCAUUACAGUUGUGUUUGUGUGUUGUGGGACUCUAACCAAGUUCUUCUAUCGCUAGGUGUUUUUGCAUUUUUGUUUUUUUCAGCCACACCCGCAGCAUGCAGAAAUUCCAAGGCCAGGGAUCGAACUUGCAACAUAGCUAUACCCAGGAUCACUGCUGUGACAACAGCUGGUCCUUAACUUGCCAAGCCACAUGGGAACUCCUGCAUUUUUGUAUUCAAUAAUAUUUAUUUGAUGCAUAGAGGUUUAAGAUUAUUUUGGGAGUUCCUUUCGUGGCUCAGUGGUUAAUGAACUCCAAUAGGAUUCAGGUUCAAUCUCUCACCUCGCUCAGUGGGUUAAGGAUCUGUG